rnacentral:rRNA from 1 species
GACGAACGCUGGCGGCGUGCCUAAUACAUGCAAGUCGAACGCAGUGGGGACGGGUGAGUAACACGUGGGUAACCUCCCCUCAGAGGGGAUAACACUUGGAAACAGGUGCUAAACCGAUACUGAUGGAUGAACCCGCUGUGCAUUAGCUAGUUGGUGAGGUAACGGCUCACCAAGGCCACGAUGCAUAGCCGAGCUGAGAGGGUGAUCGGCCACACAGGGACGGAGAAACGACCCAGACUCCUACGGGAUGCAGCAGUAGGGAAUAUUCGGAAAUGGACGAAAGUCUGACCGAGCAACGCCGCGGGAGUGAAGAAGGUGUUCGGAUCGUAAAACUCUGUUGUUAGAGAAGCGGUAUCUAACCAGAAAGCCACGGCUAACUACGUGCCAGGAGCCGGGGUAAUAC